AUGUGUGUGUGUGUGUGUCCGUGUAUCAAUGUGUGUGUGUUUAUAUAUGUAAAGCCAUUUAGCAACACCCUGUAUACUAUGUCUUAUUUGAAAAUUCAACUUCUUCCUCUUCUGCCAUUUAGCAGAGAGUUCAAAUGUUCAAAAAUAAAAAUCAUUGGUAAAUGUUUUGUUUUUGUUUUAUAAAAUGCUUAAAACGUUUGCUAAAACUUAAUUGUAACGACAUUUAACAUUAAAUUGGUGUUUUUUUUUUUUUAGAUUUUUAUAGUUAUAAAAAUACAUAUAUUUAUAUAUAUGUCGACAUAUAAUAAUAUAUAAUAAUUUGUAAAAUGACUAGAUGACGAUAUCAUGGAUCAUGAUGUAAGUAUGUAUGUAUACUAUAUAUAUAUUUAUAUUUGCAAAUGCUAUGAUGAAUGAUGUACGAUGAUCAAAUGUAUUUAUGUAUGUAUGUAUGUACGUCAAUUAGAAUUCUUAGCAAAUUGUUUCAUAUGAAUGGUGUGUGUGUGUGUGUUGCGGUUCGACCGCAGAGACUCAUUAAACUAGAUCUAGAUUUUAUAUAUGUAUAUGUAUAUAUAUGUAUAUACAUAUACAUUAAAUUGAGUCCCAAAAUUGAUUUAAAUUAUUUCUGUAUUAAAUUGUGUAAUUGCAAAAAACGUAAAUAUCCAAUUAGCAUUAUUUAAUCAUGAUGAAAACAAUGUCAACACAAAUAUGAAAACAAGUAAAAGUAUUCCAGUCGUCAAUGACCGACU